UACAGGGGGGGCAAGCGUUGUUCGGAAUUACUGGGCGUAAAGGGCUCGUAGGUGGCCAACUAAGUCAGACGUGAAAUCCCUCAGCUUAACUGGGGAACUGCGUCUGAUACUGGAUGGCUUGAGUUUGGGAGAGGGAUGCGGAAUUCCAGGUGUAGCGGUGAAAUGCGUAGAUAUCAGGAGGAAUACCGAUGGCGAAGGCAGGUCUCUGGGCUGACACUGACGCUCAUGCACGAAAGCGUGGGGAGCAAACAGG
rnacentral:rRNA from 1 species